rnacentral:lncRNA from 1 species
UAUAUAUGAGAAGUCCCCCUUGGAUUCGAGAAGAAGAAAAUGAAGAACAGGAACGAAAGGAAAUAAGGCGUUUCUAGCUCUAGUUUCGGAUGAGCUUCUCCCAAUUAUGUCUGGUAAUUGAAUAGGGCGGCUUGCUCUGACCAAGACUCCACUUUUUGCUCUAUUCAUGGCGAAGCAACAAACAAAAUAAUACGAAAAUAAUAUAUUACAAUAAAUUUAAAGUAAGUAAAUAAUAAUUAAUAAUCAAUAACAUAAAAAAAAAACAUAUUAAAAUUUAUGUUAAAAUCUUUUGGUUUAAAAAAAAAUUUAUUAUUAAAUACUAAAUAUAUAAAAAAAAUUAACUAAAAAUAGAGCUAAAUAAUAAUUAAUAAAUAAAUAAAUCAUAUUAAAUAAAUCAUUCAAUAAAUAUACUCUGAAUUUAUUUUUAAAAAAUUUUAACUCUAAUUUUUAUCAUUUAAAAUACAAAAUAUUAAAUUAUAAAUAUAUUGAUAAAAUUAUAACUAAAUUGAAUCAUAAACUUGUUGAUCAAACUUAUAGCUCAUUCCUUUUUAUUUUCUAUCAUGCCUCAGCAACCUUGUUUUUCACUUACGGCAAACUCUAUUUUCACGCCUAAAACCAGUCCCACCUCAUUAGUAAUUAGGCUUUAUUCUCAAUUGCCUGAAACAAAAAACUAAUGGCCUUUAAUUGAUAAAAAAGAAUGGGGUUGGACCCACCACAACAUAACACAUGGAACAUAUGAAUUUCCUAAAAUGUAGAUAGAACAAAAGAGUGAAUGAAGAGAUAGGAAUUGGAAUUAGAGUACCAAUGAAGGAGGAGCAUCCAUGGAGGCGGCUUGCUCUGACCAAGACUCCACUUUUUGCUCUGUCCAUGGAGCGUAUGAAUUUCCUGGAAUGUAGAUAGACCAAAAGAGGGAAUGAAGAGAUAGGAAUAGAAAC